ACUGUUUAAUCUGCAGCAUUGCAUCAUACUCCUGAGAUCAUCAUAUAUAGCGUUUCCCUACACAUUUGUAUAGCUUUGAAAAAAGAUCUUGUUUUUCCCAGUCACUUCAGUUGAUCUAAAUCUUCUGGAGAUGAUUCUUUACUGGAGAGGGAUAAACAUUUUGAAUCUUAAAUCUGACUAAAGCUUUCACAUAACUGUAGUGCAGUAGAAAAGUACAAUAUAUCCUUAAGAUGUGUUGGAGUAGAAGUGAUAUAAAACUGAAUUACUAAAGUAAAACAAUCUCAAAUGUGUCAAACAUGAAAUACCUAAUCCCAGUUUUUGUCUUUAGCACUGCAUGCCUAUGAGCCGUUGUACAAAAAGGUGACACAUUCCCCCAAAGUCCAGGGCUUAGCGAAGAAGCUGGGCCUCAUCAGUCCUGUGAUACUGCAGAGCAUGUUCAUCUUUAAGCAACCAGGGAUUGGUGGAGAAGGUAAGCUGA